rnacentral:rRNA from 1 species
GAUUAACGCUAGCGGCAGGCCUAAUACAUGCAAGUCGAACGGGAUUUCGGGUAGCAAUAUCUGAAUGAGAGUGGCGCACGGGUGCGUAACGCGUAUGCAAUCUACCGCUGACUGGGGAAUAGCCCUCCGAAAGGAGGAUUAACACCGCAUAAAACUGCGAAGUGGCAUCACUUUGCAGUCAAAACUCUGGUGGUCAGCGAUGAGCAUGCGUCCGAUUAGCUAGUUGGUGAGGUAACGGCUCACCAAGGCA